GGGGACGUGACCACAGCACUAAUCUCACCACACAUCACACCAUCAGAAGCGUCCAGUCCAGAAUAAUGGGACAGCCUACGAAGAUACAUCUGCUGGGCCAGCUCAGAGGUUCUGGCUCACGGGAUGAUGAAGAUAUGAAAAUUUGACUAUGGCACUGACAAGCCCAGAUGGCACCUCCAGGAGCUCCCCAUGCCCUCCUCUGAGGUGAAGUGUUCAGAGGCUGGACGAUUUUCUACUUAUCUUUGUAUCUUCAGAAUCCCACCCCAGGCUCAGCAUGCAGUAGUUGUUGGAAAAGUCUCUGUGGAUAUGCAAGCUCCUGGGAAGGUUUGACUGCUGUAAUUUCUGCAGCAUAUUCACUGUCCACCCAAGGGACACAUCCAUGGGCCUGCUCUCAGUGACUGUGACUUCUUCCACAUCUAGGAACCUCUCUUCAACUCCUUCCUGUGCCCAGGUGCUGGGACUCUGACCCUGCUUGCAAUCUUGUUGGGGUUCUCCAGCUGCCCAUGGUUGAAAUGCCCCUUUUGAACUCCAGGCCUCUGGCUAUAUGACUUUUUCAUAGCAAUUUGUUGCUUUUCACUCUGGCCACUAAAGCUGACCCAUGGGCUGGGAGGGGGAAUGGUGCCUGUUCCUGAUAAGGGUGAGGCCAGGCCACUCAAUGCCAAGUAAAAAAGUAAACAAGAA
rnacentral:lncRNA from 1 species